UACAGAGGUCCCAAGCGUUGUUCGGAUUCACUGGGUUUAAAGGGUGCGUAGGAGGGCAGGUAAGUCAGUGGUGAAAUCUCCAAGCUUAACUUGGAAACUGCCGUUGAUACUAUCUGUCUUGAAUAUUGUGGAGGUGAGCGGAAUAUGUCAUGUAGCGGUGAAAUGCUUAGAUAUGACAUAGAACACCAAUUGCGAAGGCAGCUCACUACUCAAUCAUUGACUCUGAGGCACGAAAGCGUGGGGAUCAAACAGG
rnacentral:rRNA from 1 species